rnacentral:rRNA from 1 species
CAAUAGCGUAUAUUAACGUUGUUGCAGUUAAAAAGCUCGUAGUUGGAUUUCUGGAGGGAGCGUCGGCCCGUAUUUACGAGUGCGUGACGUCUCUGUCCAUCCUUGCGGGAAGGCACGGCAUUGAUUUGUUGUGUCGGAUCGCAUCAUUUACUGUGAAAAAAUUAGAAUGUUCAAAGCAGGCUUUCGCUUGAAUACAUUAGCAUGGAAUAAUAAGAUAGGACUUUGGUGCUAUUUUGUUGGUUGAGCCUAAAGUAAUGAUUAAUAGGGAUAGUUGGGGGCACCUGUAUUGCGUUGUCAGAGGUGAAAUUCUUGGAUUUACGCAAGACAAACAGCUGCGAAANCGNNNGCCAAGGAUGUUUUCAUNAA